AUACUUACCUGGCAGGGGAAACACCAUGACAACUAAGGCGGUUUUCCUACUGGAAGGGAUAACCGCUUUUCUGGCAAAGGAUAGUAUGCAGGUGGAGGUAACACAUAGUUCAUCUCCCACUUUUUCUUCCAUUGACAGGAUCUCAGCUACAUGCCAACUUUAUGGGAAUGGGAGAUUCCUCCCUAGCUUGCUCCUG
rnacentral:snRNA from 12 species